rnacentral:rRNA from 1 species
AGCAUAAUCAUUUGGCCUAUAAUUGGGGUCUGGUAUGAACGAAAAUUUGGGCAGCAACUGUCUUAAUAUAUUUUUUAUAAUUUAAUAUGCAAGUGAAAAUACUUGCUUUAAUAUAAAAGACGAGAAGACCCUAGAAACUUACAUUAUUUUUGUUGGGGCGACAGGAUUACAGUUAACUAAUCUUAUAUAACAUGACGUUAAACAGUUAGAAAAAGUUACUCUAGGGAUAACAGCAUAAUUUUUUUAUAGUUUGUGACCUCGAUGUUGGACUAGGUACACCACUCUUUAGAAGAGAGUUAGUAUGCUCUGUUCGAGCAAUUUAACCUACAUGAUCUGAGUUCA